rnacentral:rRNA from 1 species
GACGAACCGAGCGAACGUUGUUCGGAAUCACUGGGCUUAAAGGGCGCGUAGGCGGGUGCUCAAGUCCGUGGUGAAAUCCUCCGGCUCAACCGGAGAACUGCCUCGGAUACUGGGUGCCUCGAGGGUGGUAGGGGUAUGCGGAACUAUCGGUGGAGCGGUGAAAUGCGUUGAUAUCGAUAGGAACUCCGGUGGCGAAGGCGGCAUACUGGACCACCUCUGACGCUGAGGCGCGAAAGCUAGGGGAGCAAACGGG